rnacentral:misc_RNA from 1 species
UCGGAAAAAGAUGUUAAACAGGUGCCAGAUCAUUUUGGCACCUGUUUUUUGUAGCACAAGACCGGCAAGCGAAUGGAUGCUUGCAUACAAAUUCAUUUGCCGGUCGUAAGAACAUGGAGCACUAAGUGCGGAAUGUUCGUGUGCGA